rnacentral:rRNA from 1 species
UACGAAGGUGGCAAGCGUUGUUCGGAUUCAUUGGGCGUAAAGGGUGCGUAGGUGGCGCCGUAAGUCGGGUGUGAAAUUUCGGAGCUUAACUCCGAAACUGCAUUCGAUACUGCGGUGCUUGAGGACUGGAGAGGAGACUGGAAUUCAUGGUGUAGCAGUGAAAUGCGUAGAGAUCAUGAGGAAGACCAGUGGCGAAGGCGGGUCUCUGGACAGUUCCUGACACUGGAGGCACGAAGGCCAGGGGAGCAAACGGG